CUAAACGCUUGAAAGUUGAUUUUGUUAUGGGCUGUAAGCAAGGAAACUUGUUUGCGAUCGCCUCUCAAAUUCGGGGAAGCCUUUAGCGUGGUAAUCCCGAGCCAAGCUCCAAAAAUGGAGAAGGUGUAGAGACUCGAUGGGAGGCACCCUAACAGUUAGGCUGAGGGUGAAGGGAGAGUCCAGACCCCAAACUGGAA
rnacentral:ncRNA from 1 species